UACGUAGGGUGCGAGCGUUAAUCGGAAUUACUGGGCGUAAAGCGUGCGCAGGCGGUUUUGUAAGAUAGGCGUGAAAUCCCCGGGCUUAACCUGGGAACUGCGUUUAUGACUGCAAGGCUAGAGUACGGCAGAGGGGGGUGGAAUUCCACGUGUAGCAGUGAAAUGCGUAGAGAUGUGGAGGAACACCAAUGGCGAAGGCAGCCCCCUGGGUCGAUACUGACGCUCAUGCACGAAAGCGUGGGUAGCAAACAGG
rnacentral:rRNA from 1 species